rnacentral:RNase_P_RNA from 1 species
AGAGUAGGGGUAGGCGAUUGCAGGCUUCGUGCUUGAGGAAAGUCCGGGCUUCCGAAAGAUCAGACUUGCUGGGUAACGCCCAGUGCGGGCGAUCGUGAGGAUAGUGCCACAGAAAAAUACCGCCUGUGCAAUUUUAGAUAGAUGAUUUUAGAUUUGGGCCAGUUCUUGGUUCUACGCUCUAACAUCCAACAUCCAAAAUUGUUACCGGUAAGGGUGCAAAGGUGCGGUAAGAGCGCACCAGCAACAUCGAGAGGUGUUGGCUCGGUAAACCCCGGUUGGAAGCAAGGUCGAGGGGCAAAGGUUGAUCUUUUUCCCGCCCCGUUGAUGUGUACCGCAAGAGGUGGUUGGUAACAAUCAUCCCAGAUAGAUAAUCGCCCUUCUAUUGUUUGUCAGGAACCGUAGGAGAACAGAACCCGGCUUAUGACCUACUCUUCCU